rnacentral:rRNA from 1 species
AGUGAACGCUGGCGGUAGGCCUAACACAUGCAAGUCGAACGGCAGCACAGUAAGAGCUUGCUCUUACGGGUGGCGAGUGGCGGACGGGUGAGGAAUACAUCGGAAUCUACUUUUUCGUGGGGGAUAACGUAGGGAAACUUACGCUAAUACCGCAUACGACCUACGGGUGAAAGCAGGGGAUCUUCGGACCUUGCGCGAUUGAAUGAGCCGAUGUCGGAUUAGCUAGUUGGCGGGGUAAAGGCCCACCAAGGCGACGAUCCGUAGCUGGUCUGAGAGGAUGAUCAGCCACACUGGAACGGAGACACGGUCCAGACUCCUACGGGAGGCAGCAGUGGGGAAUAUUGGACAAUGGGCGCAAGCCUGAUCCAGCCAUACCGCGUGGGUGAAGAAGGCCUUCGGGUUGUAAAGCCCUUUUGUUGGGAAAGAAAAGCAGCAGGUUAAGACCCCGCUGUUCUGACGGUACCCAAAGAAUAAGCACCGGCUAACUGCGU